GGAACAUUGGUGAGCUCUCACCUCAGUUCCUUUCCAUGCUGGCACCUGGUAAUAUGCUCAGAAAAAAGCAGCAUUCAGCCUUGACCUUUGUUAUUGGAAGACACAGAGGGAGAACUGGAUAAAAUAAAGUGGAUAAUAAUCCCUUUCUCUUUCUUUUCCUUCUAAACUGAUAAGCUAGGCCCAGUGGGUUGCCAAGCAGUGCAGGCCUGCUUUUCCUCCUCUCUCUACAGCCCAGUGGGAUCCAUCACUACCUCCAGCUGUGCCAUGCUGAGAGCCCUCACUGUCAAGACAGUGCCCAGCAGAGUGGGAGUUUCAGGCACUUACAACUAAUGAGCCCCAUUCGGAGAUGCUGAAUAAGCUGCCAGAGACCUGCAGGAUCAGGGCAGGUGGGGCAGAGGCCAUCAGCCUGGGGAGAAAGGAUAGAGGAGAGAGCAGGGGAGAGUUACCUGCAGCACCCAGUCAGCUUGUUGGUACUUGGGCGGAGGAAAGUUACAUAUGCUAGGGGCAUGUAGUACUUCAGUUGUAGAAGUACACCUAGCCCUGGUCCAGCAAAGCUUGAGAACACUUGCUAGACAUGAAGCCAUCAUGUACAUGACAACAGGUGAAGAACGUUCAUCAUGCCAGUCUUCCUCAUUCUGUCACCAGGAUUCACUAAGAUUGUAACCGUUGGAUCACCUUCAAUUAUAAAGUUUCUUCACCACCAAUCAGGAUGGUGGUGCUCAGCCAUUCUGUCUGGGCAUGACACACACACCUUGCUCAGUGGUGGCAGAGGGACAUCCAAAGAAUAGAGGACUUGUAGGCAUCAUGGUCUACAGAGGAUGCAUUAUAAGGAGGAACUUCUACCCUGAAGCAUAAGGUGGGCCCUUCAGGAACUCCUCUCAUGACAUGAGCUUAGAGCAAAGGAGGGAAGGCUUGGACUAAAGUUCAAGAAAACGAAGUACAUGAAAAUAUAACUAGGUUUGCAGAAGUACCCAUAAAAAUACAAAUACAGUAAUUCAUGCAGUCAUCUAAUCGUCACCAUUGAUGAUGGCCAUGUGGAGGAGCUAAACCGCUCAGCUUCCUGCCCAUCUUUACACUGAAGUGUCUACAUGAGGCAGACUUCUGAAAGUUUUGGCUGGGGAGAGGCAUCUUUGGACACUCCAAUCAGUAAACAGUAUCAACUUUCUAAAAGCAAGGUGUCAUGAAACCCCCUAACCUCAGUGCAAGAAGAAAGAAAGCUGCAAGUUAACAGUUCCUUUGUGACAAGCACAGAGGUCUUCGGAAAUGCCCCAACCCUUCCCUCUUUGUGGCAUCCAUACAGGCCUUCACAAUAAAAAAGUUUCUUAUUUUAGAGUUCUGUGUGAA
rnacentral:lncRNA from 1 species